CUCGCGCCGCAGGCGUUAGGCAUUACUCGCAUGAUUUAAUAAUGUGAAGUGAUAUAAGAUAAAUUUCAUCCAUAGAAAAUUCUGGGAACUUUACCUUGUAGAGUUUGAAAAGUAGGGAUCAAUUCGUACACCAUCCUUAUACCAUUCAAAAGUAACAUUUGCACCAUUCCCAAAAGCAAGGCAAGAUAACUGGAAAUCAUCAUUUUCAAAAACUCUACUCCGAUCACUUCUAAGGUCCUAAAAAAAGGGGGAAAUGUUUUUUUUUUUACUAGGUGCAGUGCAUAAUUCUCAUGGUUCAGUAAAGUUUCUUAAAAAAAUUGAUCAACCAAGUAUAUUGUAUUGCAGACCACUUGAAUCAAUUCUUUUUCUGGAUUACAUAUUUUAGAUCAUCCUGAACUGGGGACUUAGGGGUUGAAAAGGGGAUGAACUUAGAUUUAGGAAUAUCAGUAUCAGUGCUCUUUGGGGAAAGUGCUACACCUGCAUUGUUACAUUUUGCAAUUAAUUGAUCAAUAUCAAAAAGUAUGAAAAAUUUCAGCACGGACUAAUAGCACAAAAUCCCUCAUUAACUCAUCCUUAUUAAGCAGACACCCUUUUGAAGGCAAAAAGGUUAGAGCCUUAUAUGACAUGCUAAGUUGCUCAACUGAUAAAAAGGUUCCAGAAAAAGUUUGUUUGAGAGGUAGUUGACCCCGCAAAGCUAAAAUUUCGAAAUCUUGAAAACCCCUGGGGCCUCCAAAAGGCAAGAUUAUGGGGAAGGGAGUAAAUAUACAUACAAUCAGGAGUUCUUGAAAACAUUUUAGUGUAAAACAAUCAAAAUUGCAUGGGAAGCUAACGCUUGUGUACUCAUUGUUCUUUGCUAUCUGAAAACAGGCUUAGAAUGUAAGGUUUGAAAAAAAUUGUUACACAAUUUAUGGUGCAAGAUUCACAAUUCAAGAGAUUCAACUUAAAUGACUAACUGUCAUCGAUGUAGUUUUGUUGUAUGGUGCAUAGAAAAUUUUUCAAAAAUCAUGACUAGAUGGCUUACUUUUAAGACUAAUUCAUCCAUCUUAAAAAAUGUUAUCCAGGCAGAUCCCCGAAGUUCUCUGGAAUUUUUCAUUACUUUCAUGCAUUCUGUCACUACCUCACGAGAAAAAUUCCAAUCUUGUUCUUUUAUUAAAAACUGUACUUUGAAAUGGGUUCGACUGAGAACAAAAAAACAGAAGAUAGGAAUGAGAAAAAACAAUUCUGGCAAAUCUCAGAAUAAAUAUGAAAAAGUUCCUCUUUUGAGGAAAUUCACGAGAUACCUAAGUCUUACUUGUCCUAUGCAAAGAGAUCAUUAAAGUAUCCUUAUUACGUACCUCAUCUAAAGGUCUGACUUUUAAACACUGAGCAGAAUGUAUGUGUUUUGCUUUGCAUCUCCAACACUAACCAAAAUCCGACCAAAAAAGUUGGUCAACAAAGUUUUUCAAUGAUAAUAAAAUAUCAAUCAAUCAAGAGGUGUGCGUAAGUAAAAAAUUAAGAGAUGAAAUAACUUCUAGACCUUUUACACUGGCACUUGGAUAUUAUUACUGACCAAGGGUGGCCGGGAAUAUAUCUUCAGGAUGGAGCAGAAGUGGAUUAAGUUUUCUUUGUAGAUGCCAGGUCUUGGUAAAAUAACGUAUAGGGCACUUACUUACAAGGUGUGGUAUCUAACCCUUUGAUAAAACUGCCAUUCACAUUGAGAUACUUAUAAACCUGGGAAAAAAGAAAGGUGAUUAGAGGGCUAAUAGGUAACAAUACUCAAUCUAAAUGCAAAAAAAUUUGUGUCUUGUUUGAUGACGAUUUAUGAGAGGCAGAGAGGAUCAAAUGUAUUUUGGUCGAGGUGCUUAUGGACUUCCAGAAAAGAAAAUCCCUGGAGGAACCACUUUCAAGGUUCCUGCUAAAUCAAAUGAGAAAUCCUUGAAUUGUCCAAUUAAUGAUCUAUCCCAAUUUGUUAAAAUUUAUGAUAAAUUUCUUUACAUUUAUUCAAAAAUUGAUCUUUCAGUUUUUCAGUUUACCUUUCAAGGUUAUGAUAUUCCUAAAUCUUAAAUAAAACAGUUUUAAAAACCUUUACCUAGAGGUGGAGAGAAAUAGAGCAAAAGUGAAAACUGCAUGUCUGUUCUUGAAAUUUCAAACUGCAUGCUUUAGAUCAAACUUUUCUUACUGUCCUCUCCUGAUUUGCUCCAUUUUAGCUCUGCACACACCCUGACGCAAAAAUCUUCACUCAUUAAUUUGAACAAAAUAUUCAGAUAAAAAUGAGAAUAAGGCUUUUAUUACUUACUGUUAGGUUGAAACUGGCAAGAAACUGAUCCAGGGAUGUUUCAUUGUCUCGCGCAACAAGAAGAUUAGUCAUAUUGAUGACAGCAUUGAACCACUGCAUUUUAUCUGAGGAAAAAAGUUCACACAAAGCAACAAUGAAUGUGCAAUGCAGUGAAUUUUAACAAGGUACCAUGUAAAUAUGGCAAACAGCAAAAACAAAAGCUAACAAAUUUUAGGCCAAAGGACAAUCCAUACAUUUUUUUUAAUACCCCAUAUAAGGGUCCGCCUGCAGGUUUUAAUAUUUUUAAAUGUCAAUUUCAUUAACUCAUGACUAUCUCUUGGAGAAUUGAUUUUCCUGAGUAAAAAUUGCUCUUUGCCUUAGCUACAUAUGUAUCAUUCCAAAGCCAACUUAGUUUCAUCUAGAAAGUAUUGAGAGGUAGUGUCAUGCCUUACUCCUUCCUUCAUCCUUGACAAUCUUUCUUUCUGGCUAAUUGAAUUGCAGAAGUGGUUCAGUUAAGUCAACACUGAAGGGCACCUGAACAUUGGAUAAUUGGACCAAGGUAAGUGAAACGAAGGUUUGGUCUGCUGCUAAAGACCACCCAAAAUUGACAUAACUCUCAGUUGAGUUGGUUCCAUUCAAGUCUUGGCUGGAAGUUUGGAACAAAAUGCCGAUUCUGGCAUAAUUGAUUCUUAUGAGUCUCCUCGCCCCUGAGGCCUGAGGCCCUCAGGCAAGCAGGCCAAUUAGAAUCGAGUAUGACAAAAAUUACCUUUCUAUUUCAAACUUCCUGUCAAGACUGAAAUGGAACCAACUCAACUGAGCAUUUCGUUGAUUUUGAGGGCUUGAAUAAGGAAAGAGUAUAACUCCGUUAUAUUUGCUUUAUAAUUGAACUGAUUGGACAUCAUUAGCUCAACCUACUAACGGGGCGAUUGAAACAACAGAGCCCAACUUGAUGCGGGCAUGGCUGUGCUCUAUAGUGUCUGCAACAAUCCUGCACAUGACUUACUGUUGGCUUGGCACACAGCGGGUGAGCCUUGCGGUAAUAUGGUAUAAUGGUAUAUAAGUCAUUGGUAUUAGCUAAGGAGCAUGAUCCAACUUCAGGGUACAUGACAGCAAUCUUAUCACACUAUUACUACUACCACAACAACUACUACUGCUACUACUAGUACUACUACUGCUAUUACUUCUACUACCACAAAAGGAGCAACAAUAAGUAUGACGCAACAAACACUUUUUCCUCCUAUUCAAUUUUGACUUAGAUUAAUGCUUCUGCAAAUAUACUGUUACUCUUACAAAUUUGUUUACUGCGGAAAAAACCUACUAGUAAAAUUUUCCGUUACGCAGCCAAGAUUUAUUCUUGCAGGUUCUUCACAGUCUGUCAGCAGAGCACAAUUAUCUUCUGCUUCACAGCCUACAAAAAAGCAUACAAAAGCUCAAUUUAGAUACUAAUGAAAAUAUUUUAGACUUUAAUAUCAAGACUGCCUCUCCAAAAAUCAGAAUAGUAAC
rnacentral:lncRNA from 1 species